CAGUCGCCGCGGUAAUACGGAGGGAGCUAGCGUUGUUCGGAAUUACUGGGCGUAAAGCGCACGUAGGCGGCUUUGUAAGUUAGAGGUGAAAGCCUGGGGCUCAACUCCAGAAUUGCCUUUAAGACUGCAUCGCUUGAAUCAUGGAGAGGCGGGUGGAAUUCCGAGUGUAGAGGUGAAAUUCGUAGAUAUCUGCAAGAACACCAGUGGCGAAGGCGGCUCACUGGCCCGGAACUGACGCUGAGGCGCGAAAGCGUGGGGAGCAAACAGGAUUAGAUACCCCCGUAGUCCCUGUCUCUUAUAA
rnacentral:rRNA from 1 species